CUACGGUUUACCUUCGUCUUCGUCUCAAAGUCAGAGGACAAGAACUGAAAUUUCUGUCCUUAGUAUAUUGAAUUAUAACAUAGUCGUCGAAUAUAUUCAAGAAUCAAAAGUUGCACGCGAGUGGUUGAAGAAGUUAAUUAAAAGUAUGCGUGAUGGUCUUGGGUUUGGCAUCUUUGUCUGAACGGUUUGAUUUGGACAACCGCGGUUUGAAAAUGGAUGAAAUUGGGUAAAGUACUUGAACCAAAGCCGC
rnacentral:lncRNA from 1 species